rnacentral:rRNA from 1 species
UACGUAGGCAGCAAGCGUUGUUCGGAGUUACUGGGCGUAAAGGGUGUGUAGGCGGUUGGGUAAGUGUGGGGUGAAAUCUCCCGGCUUAACUGGGAGGGUGCGCUACAAACUGUCUGACUAGAGUGUGGGAUGGGUAAGUGGAAUUCCUGGUGUAGCGGUGAAAUGCGUAGAUAUCGGGAAGAACACCCGUGGCGAAGGCGGCUCUCUGGGACGGUACUGACGCUGAGACGCGAAAGCGUGGGGAGCGAACAGG